GAUGAAGAACGUAGCGAAAUGCGAUAAGUAAUGUGAAUUGCAGAAUUCAGUGAAUCAUCGAAUCUUUGAACGCACCUUGCGCCCUUUGGCUAUUCCGAAGGGCAUGCCUGUUUGAGUAUCAUGAACACCUCAACUCUCAUGGUUUGCCAUGAUGAGCUUGGACUCUGGGGGUCUUGCUGGCCUAUGGUCAGCUCCUCUCAAAUAAAUCAGCUUGCCAGUGUUUGGUGGCAUCACAGGUGUGAUAACUAUCUACGCUUGUGGUUUUCCAUCAGGUAACCUUCAGUGAUGGAGGUUCGCUGGAGCUCAUAAAUGUCCCUCCUCAGCGAGGACAGCUUUUUGAACGUUUGAUCUCAAAUCAGGUAGGACUACCCGCUGAACUUAAGCAUAUCAUAAGCGGAGA
rnacentral:misc_RNA from 1 species